rnacentral:rRNA from 1 species
GAUGAACGCUGGCGGCGUGCCUAAUACAUGCAAGUCGAGCGAAGCGGGGAAGGGUGAGUAAAACGGGGAUAACAUGGUAUAAGACUGGGAUAACUUCGGGAAAACGGAGCUAAAACGGAUACUUAAAGAUAGAUCAGCGCUGCAUUAGCUAGUUGGUAAGGUAACGGCGUACCAAGGCAACGAUGCAUAGCCGACCUGGUAGGGGUAUCGGCCACCCUGGAACUGAGACACGUUCCAGACUCCUACGGGAGGCAGCAGUAGGGAAUCUUCCGCAAUGGGCGAAAGCCUGACGGAGCAACGCCGCGUGAGUGAUGAAGGUCUUCGGAUCUUAAAACUCUGUUAUUAGGGAAGCGGUACCUAAUCAGAAAGCCACGGCUAACUACGUGCCAGCAGCCGCGGUAAUAC